rnacentral:rRNA from 1 species
UUUGACUGUGCAAAGGUAGCAUAAUUAUUAGUUUUUNAAUUGAAAGCUUGUAUGAAGGGUUGGACGAGAUAAAAUCUGUCUUUAUUUAAAUUACAAUAGAAUUUAACUUUUAAGUCAAAAGGCUUAAAUGUAUAUAAAAGACGAGAAGACCCUAUAGAUCUUUAUUUAAUUAAUAUUUUGAUAAUUUAAGAUUAUUUUAGUUUAAAGUUUUAAUUAAAUUUUAUUGGGGUAAUAUAGAGAUUAAAUAAAUUCUUUUUAUUUAUUACAUUGAUUUAUGAAUAUAUGAUCCAAUAUUAUUGAUUAUAAGAUUAAGUUACCUUAGGGAUAACAGCGUAAUUUUUUUGGAGAGCUCAUAUCGAUAAAAAAGUUUGCGACCUCGAUGUUGGAUUAAAAAUUAGCUUGGGUGCAGAAGCUCAAGAUUUUGGUCUGUUCGACCAUUAAAUUUUUACAUGAUCUGAGUUCAGACCGGCGUAAGCCAGGUCGGUUUCUAUCUUUAUUUAUCUAAAAUAUUUUAGUACGAAAGGACCAAAUAUUUAAUAUAAUUAUAUUUCUUUUUUGAAUAAUAUU